rnacentral:rRNA from 1 species
AGAACCCCCAAGCGUUAUCCGGAUUUAUUGGGNGUAAAGGGUCCGUAGGUGGUUUAGUUAGUCCAAGGUUAAAUACUUCAGGCUCAACCUGAAGGGUGCUUUGGAAACGGCUAAACUAGAGGGNAUUAGGGGCUGAUGGAACGGUCCGGUGUAGGAGUGAAAUCCGUUGAUAUCGACCGGGAACACCGAAAGCGAAGGCAUUCAGCUGGGGUGACCCUGACACUGAGGGACGAAAGCGUGGGUAGCAAAAAGGAUUAGAUACCCUUGUAGUCCGACGCUGUAAACGAUGAAUACUGGCUAUCUGAAGUGUGCAGCAUUCGGGUGGCGAASAUACGCGUUAAGUAUUCCGCCUGGAAGUACGGC